GCAGGGCAGAGCCAGUGUGUGCGUGUGGAAUAAAUGUGGCCACACAAUAUCCAGCACAGGAACGCGUGAACAGAUCAAUCGCCCUGUCAUAGCUGAGGAAGACACACAGAGAGACACAGUGGUGCAGGGUGUUGCUGUUAAACUGCAGUGCCCCCUUCAGGCC